rnacentral:lncRNA from 1 species
GAAUUAAAAAAAUAAUUGAACAAUGAGAGCAACAUUAGAGUUUAAAGUUCCAUUCUCAGACAUCUCAAAAAUCAAUAGGUCUAAGAGUACUGCUGCCUUUAAAGCUGAACACGUAACAGAGGAGUGUAAAUAUUACAAAUUCAAAAGAAAGACAUAUGAUGUUCGUGACACUACAGGUUUAGUUAUAAUAAAAGACAAAACUUCAAAUUUACUGGAAUUAAACAUUAGUACAUCACAGUGACUACUUCCUAUCAAAUACAACUUUAAUAGCCAAAACAAAAUAUAAGAAUGCCUUUAUUUUGAUUCCCAGAUUCCUCUUUAUUGCUCGUAGAAAGGCAAGACUAUCAACUAAUGUAUUUCAACACUGUCUGGAACCUCUCAAUCGCCAAAUUUGACCAACUGGUGAUUGAACUUGAAGAUUGACAACUUUAACCUAACAAGUGCCCUUUAAGCAUGAUUGAUCAAUUGGACAAAUCAAACUAAAUUUCAGAUCAUGUUAGGAGUAAAUUCCAUUUAUUGUAACAUAUUUAGGCAUACUUAGGUAGAGAUUGAACCAAAUAGUGAAUCAGUGAGUGAAGUCUUUGAAGCAUCAGGUAAUUUUAGCUUAAGCAUACAAUUUCAUAAACAGAACAAACGUAAGCAGAUCGAAUAGCCAACACUAGAAACGCAUAGACUUAGACAUGCUCGUGGAAUCAACAGUGCACUCGUCAUUUCCAUUUUCAACAGAGAAUUACAGAGAAAGAUCCACAUACCUAGAAGUAGAAUCAAUAGAUGAACUUGACAAAACAAGGAUGAAAGGUGAAAAUCUAGCCAGCAACAAACAACAUCAAUCUUAUAAUCAAACGAACAGUUUCAAGCUUGAAUACUACUCAAAAUCCUAGAAAAAUGAAGCAGAACCAGUAGAAAUUAAAAGAAAAAGCAGCUUUGAAUCUUAUUUUUUUGUUUUCUGUCUCUAACUUGAACUUUCAGCUUUGUUUUUCAAAAAAAAAAAUUAAAAUGAGGAAUCAGAUAAUAUAUUAUUUUCAACAUCUUUUCUAACAAAUUUGGACAUUUGUCCCUUUUUAGAAGUUUCUUCUUAUUUUCACUCUUUUAACCUUUGUAUUUUACCCCUUUUAAACCUAAUUUCUGACCUAAAUCCCCUUGUCCCAUUACAUUUAACUCUCAAAUGGAUCCCAAAUUGGGCCAGACCUGUUUAAAGACUUGGGCCUGUACCUCAAUCUUCCUUCUAAACCCAAUAAUGAACCAAAAUCCCCUAGUCCACAAGUCAAAACCCUACUCCCAAUUCCAGUAAUUUUAAACCUAAAGGAAAAUAAUUUCAGAAGUGACAAAAGCUAAUUACUUCUGAAAUCUAUCUAAACAAACCAACGUACGACAAAUAGCAAGACUAAUCUAAUUUAGACAAAGCACUACUGAAAAUGCAAUCGACUAUAGAAACAGAAGAAGCAAAACAAGGAAAAGAUUAUACAAUUCAAAGCAGAACAUACUCAAAAACCUAACAAAAUUUAGAUGAUUAACCUAACUAGUCGAGGUCAUACAAGUAAACUAUUAAUCUAACCUUGAAAACACAAACUUAAUGUUCAUUGAAUCCUAAUCGAUCUAAAACAUGUUAUACACAUGAAAACACACACAACUAAUAGAAAAACACAUAUAUGAGAAAAUCGAAACAUGACAGAAAAGUAACUAAAAAAAGAAAAGUUGGAGUACCUAUUGAUUUCAUAAGAGAAUGAGAGGGGAAAUUCCAUAUAAUCUAAUAGGGACUAAAAACUGAGAUGAUUAUCUGAAAAUGCUCCAUGGACAACUCAGACAUGAAUUAAACUAACAUAAAUCGAUUGCUCUUGUCAAAAGCAAUCAAUUUAUGUGAUUUUGAAACCAAAUCGACUUGAAUUAUUGAGAAACAACAAAAGCUUGAACUAGGGUUUUUUGGCCUUCUUAGAUGUGAAAUUGGAGAAGAUUGGUGGAGAUUUUGGGGAAAUUGGUAGGGGGUUAAGGUUUAGGGGGUGUGAGGAUGAUGGGGUGUUUAUUUGGGGCGGUUUAGAGUAGUGCCGCCGUAGGCGAUUUCCAGCAGCAGCAGACGGCGAGGGAUGAGAGAGGGGUAAGAGAGAUGAGUCUAAGAUGAUUUUGGGGGUAUGGGUCUCUCUCUCACAGAAAGUUUGAGGGGUGGAAGUGGGUAGUUCCCAGCCGUUGGAUCAUAGGAGAUCUUCG